AUUGAACGCUGGCGGCAGGCCUAACACAUGCAAGUCGAGCGAGCGGCGGGCGGGUGAGUAAUGCCUGGGAAUUGCCCAGUCGAGGGGGAUAACAGUUGGACACGACUGCUAAUACCGCAUCCGCUUGGAUUCCCCAGGUGGGAUUCGUUAGUUGGUGAGGUAAUGGCUCACCAAGGCGACGAUCCCUCGCUGGUCUGAGAGGAUGAUCAGCCACACUGGAACUGAGACACGGUCCAGACUCCUACGGGAGGAAGCAGUGGGGAAUAUUGCACAAUGGGGGAAAGCCUGAUGCAGCCAUGCCGCGUGUGUGAAGAAGGCCUUCGGGUUGUAAAGCACUUUCAGCGGGGAGGCGUUACUCGCAGAAGAAGCACCGGCUAACUCCGUGCCAGCAGCCGCGGUAAUAC
rnacentral:rRNA from 1 species